rnacentral:misc_RNA from 1 species
AACGCACGAGACCUGCGGACCUGCGGAAGGAUCAUUACUGAGUACCGGGUCUCUCAGGCCCUUACUCCCACCCUUUGUUUACUUUACCGUUUGAUUCAGUUGCCUUGGUGGGCUAUUUCCUUUGCCCCUAACCUAGGAACCGCUAGCCGGGUCCUUGGGGGCGGGAAACCCACCAGGGGGACUCCCCUAAAACUCUUUUGAAUUGGGAUGUCUGAGAAAACAAAUCAAAUAAAAUUAAAA